GUUCCGUUGUGUCUUGAAUUUAACCUCUCUGUGGUAAUUUCCCUUUUUUAAAAAAGUCAUUUUUAACAGAGUAUGAAAGGCCUUUCUUAAAAUAAUACUUUAUCCUUGUUGAAGCAAUAGCAUCUUUGCUAUCUCCUGCACGUAUCAUCAGGACUUCUCAGAAUGAGGAGGAAAAUCAGCAGACAAAUAGUGCCAGGCUAAAGAAUGCCAUGAAGGAUUUUGACAUGCUUUGUCCUGUCUGUGCAGGGCACACUUACAUUGCACUUGUGCAGUCUUGAUCAAAGCUUUGUUUCAAGUUGAAGGCAACUUGAGUCUGAACUAACUUCACACACUGCUAGCUUCAAGUUAUUUUUGUGAUAGGAAAAGUGAUUACUUAAGAGAUAAAAAUGCAGGGUUUGUUUCAAUUGGUCAAACCGUUUCUAUGGUUGCAGAGUGGUAUCUGAAGAUUCAGCUGAAAAAAUGUGUCUUAAAGAUGAGAAAACAGCUUAUCUGUUGCAUCCCUGCACUACAUUUGCUAGGCAGGAAUGGAGUUCCAGGCUUGAGAGGAGAUACAGCUUGAUGGUUUUGUUACUGGAUCCUUAUAAGUAACCCCUUUUCCCCAAAUAAAACUUUCUAAAAGCCAAGUCCAUCUUAACUGCUGGUGGCUUCCUUUCUUUGUUUUAUGCUGUUAACUAGGAAAGCUUUGAAGUGCCCCCAGAUAUUUAUCAGAAUAUCAUGUGACCUUUUUUUUGAAGGGGGAUCCAAGGGACCUGAAUGCAUCCUUUGGGAAGAUGACCUUCCAGGAUGCACCUAGAUCGGAAAUAUGAAAGCAGAUGCAGUGUUUGUUUUGGCUGUGUUCUGCAAGGUCACUUCACCCCAUGGCUUUUAGGAAUCCCAGAAUGGCUGGAGUGAGAAGGGACCUCCAAGUCUAUCUGGCCCAACCCCUGCCCAAAUUGGGACAUCCAGAACAGGGCACCCAGGCUCAUGGCCAGGCAGCUUCUGAAGAUCACCAAGGAGAGGACCCCACAGCUUCUCUGGGCAGUCUGUACCAGUGCUCUGUCACAUGCAGGGUGAAGUGCUGGCUGGUGUUCAGAGGGAACCUCCUGUCCUCCAAUUUAAUGCUAUCUCUGUUUUAAGAAAACUAGUAGCUUAGCACCAUGUGCACAUUUGUCUCCAUGGCGGGUGCUCAUCUUAAGUUCAGUGUUCAAGAGUGUGCUGUUCUCUGGACCACUCACUGCUGUUAAUUCUUCCACAUGGGUCAGCUGGAUCCCAGGUCAGCAUGAAGUCAUUUCUCCUGCACACAAAAUGAAAGUCAGUCUAUUUAUGUGUACCAUCAGCAGCUGGAAAGCACCAAUGUUUUAUCUCUUGUCACUCGUUACAAAUAAAUCAUAUCCUUCUUCAAAAUUGCCAUGCAGAAUAGAUAUCAAGGAUUUGUAUGAUAUUGUUCAGUGUUUAGAAAAUAUUUAAUCAUCACUGUAGGGUACAAUUUGCAUUAUUCCCAUUUUUCAUGCCAACAUGAUUUGUAUGGCAGCCAAUGUAUGCUGAUUAGUCAAAUUUCCCUAAUUAAUUUUUGUCAAUGUGUUGUCCUAACAUGACUUGAAAUGUACAGCUUAUUUUAUUAAAUGUAUUAAAACUGCUUCUGCUUUCCACUGUAUACCAGGGAAUAAUUUGCUACCAACAGCAUUUACAACAAUUUUUAAACGCACGUAUUCUAAUUAAAGUGAACAUCCAACACGUUGGCCAAGGGUGAGUCAUACUUUGUAAUAGCUCUAUGGGGAAGAAGGUUGGAGUUAUGUGUUCUUUCAAAGC